rnacentral:rRNA from 1 species
ACUCCUACGGGAGGCAGCAGUGGGGAAUAUUGCACAAUGGGCGCAAGCCUGAUGCAGCAACGCCGUGUGAGUGAAGAAGGUUUUCGGAUCGUAAAACUCUGUCCUAAGGGAAGAAACAAAUGACGGUACCUUAGGAGGAAGCCCCGGCUAACUACGUGCCAGCAGCCGCGGUAAUACGUAGGGGGCAAGCGUUAUCCGGAAUCACUGGGGCGUAAAGGGUGCGUAGGCGGCUUAGCAAGCCAGGGGUGAAAGGCAUUGGCUCAACCAAUGUAAGCCUUUGGAACUGUUAAGCUUGAGUGCAGGAGAGGUAAGUGGAAUUCCUAGUGUAGAGGUGAAAUUCGUAGAUAUUAGGAGGAACACCAGUGGCGAAGGCGACUUACUGGACUGUAACUGACGCUGAUGCACGAAAGCGUGGGUAGCGAACAGGAUUAGAUACCCUGGUAGGACAGGG